GAUGAACGCUGGCGGCGUGCCUAAUACAUGCAAGUCGAGCGAACAGACGAGGAGCUUGCUCCUCUGACGUUAGCGGCGGACGGGUGAGUAACACGUGGAUAACCUACCUAUAAGACUGGGAUAACUUCGGGAAACCGGAGCUAAUACCGGAUAAUACAUUGAACCGCAUGGUUCAAUAGUGAAAGACGGUUUUGCUGUCACUUAUAGAUGGAUCCGCGCCGCAUUAGCUAGUUGGUAAGGUAACGGCUUACCAAGGCAACGAUGCGUAGCCGACCUGAGAGGGUGAUCGGCCACACUGGAACUGAGACACGGUCCAGACUCCUACGGGAGGCAGCAGUAGGGAAUCUUCCGCAAUGGGCGAAAGCCUGACGGAACAACGCCGCGUGAGUGAUGAAGGUCUUCGGAUCGUAAAACUCUGUUAUUAGGGAAGAACAAAUGUGUAAGUAACUAUGCACGUCUUGACGGUACCUAAUCAGAAAGCCACGGCUAACUACGUG
rnacentral:rRNA from 1 species